GCUGUGGCACUUGUGACAGUGACAGAAAGCGCAAGUAGAAGCAACAUUAGAAGGAAACACAAGAUGGAUAUAUAAAUAUUUUCUUUUCCCUCCAGUAUCUUGCUGUGUGGCUUUGGACAGAGUAUGGACUUUGGACUCAAACCAUUGUGGACAGGAGUCUCAUUUUGCCAUU